GGGGCCGAUUAGGAUUCGACGUUGAUUAGAAAAUGGAUCAUGGCAUGUCGAGCACCAGUUAGCUCGCUAAUCCACUGGAAAAAAUAUAAACGCCAAUAAUUCGCGUUUCAAGUUAGCAGCUUAAAGCUCUAACCGCUGCACUGGGUUUUUUUCUUGGAUCAGAUGAUUCUUUCGAGUCAUAGCAGUGUCAUAUACAAGAAAUAUAUUUGUAAUAUUUUCACGAUAUGCAAACUGA
rnacentral:tmRNA from 1 species